GGUUGGAUCAUUACAAAUCCUGACUCGCAAGAGUCUUAACCACUUGUGCAUUAUUAUUGGCAAGGUGUCUGGUCAAACAGAUGCCGAACCACAUUUACUACUAUUAUGUCUGAUAUUAUUUUAUAAUAAUAAACAACUUUUGACAACGGAUCUCUUGGCUCUCGCAACGAUGAAGAACGCAGCGAAAUGCGAUACGUAGUGUGAAUUGCAGAAUUCCGUGAAUCAUCGAAUCUUUGAACGCAUCUUGCACUCUGUUUACGCAGAGUAUGCCUGUUUGAGAAUCUAUAGACUUCUUCACCCCUUGUGGGUGAGAUUUGGGUUUAUCACUGCAAAGUGAUUUGCCUUAAACCUAUAGGCUGGUACUGUAACAUCUUAUAGUAAGGUGCCAAAGUGUAUGAAGGGUUCGCCCACUUCCUUUGGUGCUAAGCUUAGUUGCUGGACCGGUCCCAACGGGAGUAAUCCCAAUUAGACUAGCUCUUCGUGGUUAUUCUGAAACUUUGGUCUCAAAUCAGGUAGGAAGACCCGCUGAACUUAAGCAUAUCAAUAAGCGGAGGAAAAGAAAAUAACAAUGAUUCCCCUAGUAACGGCGAGUGAAGCGGGAUCAGCUCAAAUUUGAAAUCUCAGGCGGUAACGUCUGCGAAUUGUAGUUUAGAGAUGCGUUUUCGGUGGCGGCUUGGGUUCAAGUUCUUUGGAACGAGACAUCAUAGAGGGUGAGAAUCCCGUCCAUGACUCAAGAUCCGCUACUAUGUGAUACGUACUCGAAGAGUCGGUUUGUUUGGGAAUGCAGACCAAAAUGGGUGGUAAAUACCAUCUAAAGCUAAAUAUUGGCGAGAGACCGAUAGCGAACAAGUACCGUGAGGGAAAGAUGAAAAGAACUUUGAAAAGAGAGUUAAAUAGUACGUGAAAUUGUCAAAAGGGAAACGCUUGAAACCAGUAUUGCUUGCGGGACUUAGCAGUUCUUUUGAGCUGUGUCUUCCCGUUGGUGAGUCAGCAUCAAUUUGAUUCGGGUGAAAAAGCUUCAAGAACGUAGCCCUUUGGGUGUUAUAGCUUGGAGUCAUAGCCUGGGUUGGAUUGAGGACUGCAGCGUCUGUUGGAGAACCUGUCGCCCUGGAAAUUGCGCUUAAUGACUGCUUGCAGAUGUUAGGUUGUAACGAAAGGUACGGCGGGUGUAUCACACUAGCGCUUAGGAUGCUGACGAAAUGGUUUUAAUCGACCCGUCUUGAAACACGGACCAAGGAGUCUAACAUAUAUGCGAGUAUUUGGGUGGCAAACUCUUAUGCGUAAUGAAAGUGAAAAGGUGUGAUCCGCAAGGUGCAACAUCGACCGCGCUCUGUUAUUACUACGGUGGCGUGAGUAUGAGCAUAUAUGUUGGGACCCGAAAGAUGGUGAACUAUGCCUGAAUAGGGUGAAGCCAGAGGAAACUCUGGUGGAGGCUCGUAGCGGUUCUGACGUGCAAAUCGAUCGUCGAAUUUGGGUAUAGGGGCGAAAGACUAAUCGAACCAUCUAGUAGCUGGUUCCCUC
rnacentral:misc_RNA from 1 species